AGGGGACCCAUAUCCAUCUGAGCAGCAAAAACACCAUCUGCUAUCGGCUCUCAGUCAGUUGACAAGAUGGUCAGAAAAGCAGUUAGUAGAGUGGUUAGAAGAGAUGCUGAGAUACAUAAAUUCAUCUCCAGACAUCUAAAGACUGAAACAAGGAACAUGAAUAAUGAGAACCGAGUGUGUGAUGUUCAAAUCAUCGAUUAUGAAAUUACCCAGAACUUAAGAAAGGGCUGCAAAUAGAAGCUAGCUUUGUGGGAUUUCUUAUAUCUGAAGAGAUGGAAGCAAUCAUGUGUUUCAGCGCAACUAAGCAAUUCAGCCAUCAUUCUAUUUUGACACUUAUUUUCCUCGGUUAUGAUUCAGAAAAGGACAGGAUAUUACUGUUCUAUGAGAGGUAUGACUCUUUGUUAGCUGAUUGGAGAGAAUGACAUGAGAUUUGGUAGCAGCAAGUUACAUGGCAACUCUAUUUUAAUCUCUCAAAAGCAUGUCUUGCAGUAAAUAUAUGUAAUGACUUGACAAGGAAACAUGUUUUGCAGUGAACAUAUACAGGCCCCAAAAUAUUUACAUGAUAAAGGUUUAUUCAUACAGGCCUCAAUAA